rnacentral:tRNA from 1 species
GAUUCUAUAGUGUAAUGGUUAACACAUUUGCUUGGCAAGCAAAAGGCCGUUACUUUGAUUCCAGCUGGAAGCA